UACGAAGGGGGCUAGCGUUGCUCGGAAUCACUGGGCGUAAAGCGCACGUAGGCGGAUUGUUAAGUCAGGGGUGAAAUCCUGGAGCUCAACUCCAGAACUGCCUUUGAUACUGGCGAUCUUGAGUCCGGGAGAGGUGAGUGGAACUGCGAGUGUAGAGGUGGAAUUCGUAGAUAUUCGCAAGAACACCAGUGGCGAAGGCGGCUCACUGGCCCGGUACUGACGCUGAGGUGCGAAAGCGUGGGGAGCAAACAGG
rnacentral:rRNA from 1 species